CUGAACCAUUUGCCCCGGAGCUUGGGAAUGGUUGGAAGCACUUUUGAGCUGCACCCAGAAGGAAGCAGCAUUUAUCUAAAUUAAACCUGUGAAGUACUACUUAGCCCUGGGAGGGAACUUGAUUCACUUAUUCAUAAACACUCACUCAAUUAGCUCACUUCCUACGCUUGGACAGGCAUUGAGCUAUGUCCUGGUUAGAUAUGACUGAAGGCCCAAGUUCCUUCCUUUAAGGAAUCUAAAUUCAGGGUAGUAGCAGACCAGGAAAAGAAACAUGCCGUGCACAUGUCUCUCCAAAGCUGACCACAGGGUACUGAAGGAGCGCCACAGGUUAGUGCAUAUUGAGUCUGAGCUCCAGAUUGCCACCAGGUUCACCUGUGAACAAUUAAGUUUCAGGGUCCAAUACCAAAGCUUUUGUCUGCUCUGAGGUGUCAACUGCCUGUGACCUGAAGGGAAGAAAUCAAAGAACGGAGUCCCACAAAGACAGCGUCUGCAUAUCUUUCACCUCCAAGCCAAAGAGACUGACUUCAGGAGGCAUUUCCUGCAUAUUGGGUUUCACCUCUCCUCUCCUUCCUACUCUGGAGCCCUGAAGGACCUUUUCACCAGAAAGAGGCUUGACUCCAGUAUCUUUCUAUUCAUCCUGUAGGGAAUUUGUUGAGUCUGCUCUUUGGGGUUAAGGUUAGGGUUUCAGCUUUGUCCCACAGACUCUUAGCACCACCUCCUCCAUCCAUCCUGGCCACAACUAGCUAUUACAUGUCAUCAUUAGGAUUGCCCCUGUGCUUUCAUAGUCCCGUCCUUCGCUUACGUUUGGCCCUCAUUUGUUUAUUCAGUAAACACUGACCACUCCUUAUGUGACCAGCACUGCUUGUGCUCUGUGCCAUAAGGGUUCUCUCUUUCCCUUUAGAAACUCUUCUUGGGCUGGAGAGAUGGC